UCUUUGCUAAAAGAGGGCUUUCUGUGUUUAAUUAGUUGGAAGCUGUUCUGUCACAGGCGGAUGAUUUGGAUGUCAGAUGUUUGGGUUUCCUGCUUGCUUCCCCCACCCCCACCCCCCAGUUUUGAGCCUCACUGAAUCUCAGUUAAUACCAGCUUCUGGCCUCCCCGUCUACCCUAGGCUACACUGUCCAUCUUCCAAUGCAACCAACGUCAUAGAGGCCUUUUAUGCACCGUUUAGGAUUCAGGGAAGAUUUGAUAGUGCAGACAGAGACUGUGACUUGCCCAAGCCUCAUAACAGGAGAGAGAUUGAUGGAACCAGAGCCAUUAUUUCCUGCCUUCUAUGAACAGUUGUUGGAUCAGGAGCUGUAGAAUGUCUUCAGUGUAAGAAUCCUGUCUGGAGGGACCGUCCAUAGAAGCUCUCCUGCUCUCCCAACUCCAAGGCAAUUCACCAAGUGACUUCCCACCUGUUUGCCUGUAAUGGUUCCAAGGGGCGAGAGUUACGUGCUACGGUCUAUGGCUCUGAGCUGCUGGUGGGAGACACUGGUAUGCUAUACUACCCAGCUCCUGUCAGAAAGUCAGCUUCACUAUGUGGAGUUCAUCCUCUCCCUCAACCAAUGCCCAAGAAGGAGACUGGACACACAAUACCAUUAAAGGUCAUCAGAGGAAUGGAACACAUAGCGUCAUUAAAAAAACAUCAGAGGGCCGGCGGUGGUGGCGCACACCUUUAAUCCCAGCACUUGGGAGGCAGAGACAGGCAGAUUUCUGAGUUCGAGGCCAGCCUGGUCUAUAAAGUGAGUUCCAGGACAGCCAAGACUGUACAGAGAAACCCUGUCUCGAAAAACCAAAAAAAAAAAAAAAAAAAAACAAAACAAAACAAAAAAAAAAAACAAAAACAAAAAAACAAAAAAACGAAAACAAAACAAAACAAAACAAAAAACCCAAAACCAUCAGAGGAACUUCGCUCUGGAUGCUUUGGAGGACUUUGGCAAAGGAAGCCAUUACUGGGGACAUGGAGCCAUGAUCAGAGUGUGGGGUCCUGGAUUCUUCUUGAUGGACACUUAAACUAUGGACCUCAGAGCACACUGUCAGAGAUAGUAAGCUGAAUUUUAUAUCUAAGACAUUUAGUUUGAACGGUGCUUGAAUACUCUUUAAGUCGCUAACACAUUUGAAGAGGGAUAUAUGACAUUAAAAGUGGGGCAUGGCUGGCUGGCCACGCUAGCAGAGCAUUUUGUUCGCAUCAGCUGGAUGCUGGAGCUCGGAGUCGGGCAUAUAUGUAUUCUCAUUGGCUCCAGUCCCAGCCACUCCCUAUUGGCUUGCAUGUGGCCUGCUUUGUUUGCUUGUUUUACCCCUGGGAUCUGCUAUCAUCUGAACUGUGUCUUAAUACUCUUUGACAGAGCUUCCUAGAAGAUUCUCACACACAAUCACCAGAAUGCCAUGGUGCUUCCCCGCAGUUCUGCUCCAGACAUGGAGAUUCCUGAGUAUCUCAGAGAUUCAGGAUUUGCAUCUUAAAUGAGUGGCCUGGAGAUGCCAAUGCUUUUAUGGUGCUGUUUAAGUACCAUCACCUGUAUCCAGUUGUGGUGUCUCUCACCUCUAAAUGUGAGCUCUCAGAACUUUAAGGCAGGAGGACCACAAGGACUCAAGUCUACUGGAUGAUGCCAUCUACUUCAAACACAUACACAGGCAAUGUCUCAGACGUGAUCUUUGAAAAGUUCUCCUGACCACCAUAGACAGCCACCAUGUUCAGCGUUCCUAUUCUGACUCUUUUUUGGCGAUAUUCAUGAUGCCUUGAAAUUCUAACCUUCUGAGUGGUGGGACCACUGGAAUCCUUUAGGCUAGCCUGGACUACAGGACAUCAAAGAGGAUAUGAUCAGAAUGUAGCCUAAGACUAAACCUGCCAACACCUUGAUUUUAGGGUCAGUCAGAACAAGAUCAAAUUCAGAAAGACAGAUGGAUAGAUAAAGGGUUUGCUGCACAGAUGGGAGGACCAGGGUUCAGAUCCCCUUUAAAGCUGGGCACAGGAGUUCACAGUUAUAACCAUGGCGCUCCUAAAGAAGAUGGAGCCAGGAGAACCCUGGGAGCUCAAGGCCAUCGAGCCUACAGAGUGCGAUGGCAAAGAGCAAAAAUAUCUUCUCCAAACUAGGUAGAAGGUGAUAGCCAACUUCCAGGGUUGUGUUCUGAGCUCCACAUGUGUGCCUUGGCAUGUGUAUGCCUUUACACACACACACACACACACACACACACACACACACACACACUUACUUCCACACUCCAUACAUCAAACACAAAAGAUAAAAAGCAUUAUUUAAAAAUUAAGAUUUUUAUUGUUAAAGCCACUAGCCUGUGAUAUUUUCUUAUUGAGGUCCCCAAAAUUAAAACAAGAGCCCACAAAAAUUCCUGUGCUUCCCCUGUCUGAUCCCCUUCUUCAAGGAGGGGCCACCAACCUGAGCCAGCUUGACCUCAGUCAGUGAGUGUUCUGGGCAGCAGGCACGUGAGGCUAAAGGUCAAAGGCCGUAAGUGCUGGGUGCAAUCCCUUGCUGAGCCUCUGCCCUGUGUUCCCCUUGAAGAUUUGUUUGGUCCCUGGCUGUGGGGGUUGGGGCUGGGGGGCAAAGAGCUGCUGAGAGGGUCCUGUGGAGACCCUGGACAACUUCACCAGGUUCCUCAGCUUUGAGCUCUCACUCCUUUUGCCAGUCUGGGCCCCAUUGUUUGGGUAAUGUCAGUGACAUCAACCACUGAUGAAUAUAUAUAUAUAUGUGUGUGUGUGUGUGUGUAUAUGUAUAUGUAUGUGUGUAUGUGUAUAUAUAUAUGUGUGUGUAUAUAUAUGUGUGUAUAUAUAUAUAUGCGUGUGUAUAUAUAUGUAUGUAUAUAUAUAUAUACACAUAUCUUCAGCUGAGCUCAGCUGGCUACAACCUGAGUGGCUUUUCCUGGAAAAGUUUAGGGUAGUAGUUCUUAAAUUCUGCCAUGUCUCAAAAACACCAUGUCCUUGAGGCUUACUCAAGGAGAGCUGGCAGGGUCAUGACCAACAGUCUCUUUCAGAGGUCUGGGUAGAGCCUAGAAACUUUGCAUUUCUAACAAGCUGCCAUGUGAUACUGAUGCUGCAGCCCCAGAGAUGCUGAUGCCACAAGUCCAGACACUGAUUGGGCAAAGGGUAAAAGGAUGCGAGGAAGAGUACCCAUAAUGGUCCAAAGGACGUUAAAGGAGACCCAGGCAAAGCUGGGACAGGAAGUGAUAGGACUGUUAAUGUAUGAUUUGGCCAAAGGGCUCAUGUGCUGGACAACCCUACUAGUGGUUACAUAAGCCACAGGCAAGGGAUAAAAAUGGCUGUAAAGACCUUCAAUGAUCGUACUUCGGAGCCUCAGUUUUGCAGUACAGGAAUGGCCUGCACAAUGCAGUGGAUGGAUGGAGGCUUAUCAUCACAUUCGCAGGCACUGUCGGAAGCUCUGUAGAUUCCAGGGCCAUCACUGAGCUAGCAAUACAGGAGGGGGAGCCACGUGGAAGGUUCUUUUGUCUCUGUAUGGACAUGUACCGCCUGAGUGUCUGGUACCUGUGGAGGCCAAAAGUGGAGGAAGGAAGCCAGCGAGGGCAUUGGAUUCCAUGGAAGUGGAGUUACCUGUUUGUGAGCUGCCAUGUGGGUGCUAGGAAUCGACAUAGGGUCUCUCACAAGUGCUCUAAACCACUGAACCAUUUCACUAGCCCAUUCUAUUGUCAACAACUAUAUUCUGUGACCUAAGGUAGCAGGCAAUGGGGCCUGGAGCAGCAACUGAGAGCUCCCACCUUGAAACACAACCACAAGCAGAGAACACACUGGUAAUGGCAUAUGUCUCCUAUGACAACCCCUCCAGUGAGGCCAUAGCUCCUAAUUCUUUCCAAACAGUCCCAACAACUGAGGACCAAGCAUUUAAACACUUGAGCCCGUGGAGGCCAUUCUCACUCAAACCCUCAAAGCAGCUCCACCUUGGUGUACCAGGUCUGCAUACCGACUCCCUCCAUUCUAAGCAGGGCUUGUCUGUCCCUCUGCAUCAGCUUUAGAUGUGUUUAAGACACUCCUUCCUGCUCUUAGCCCCUCCUCCCCAUCCUCACCAGGCUUCCUAGCUCUCUCUCUCUCUCUCUCUCUCUCUCUCUUUUUAAAGAUUUAUUUAUUUUAAAUUUUAUUUAUAUGAAUACACUGUAGCCAUCUUCAGACACACCAGAAGAGGGCCUCAGAUCCCACCACAGAUGGUUGUGAGCCACCAUGUGGUUGCUGGGAAUUGAACUCAGGACCUCUGGAAGAGCAGUCAGUGCUCUUAACCGCUGAGCCAUCUCUCCAGUCUGAGCUUGCUAUCUCUUGUAAGUCAGAUCUUGAUUGAGCAGCAAAAGAGGUUUUAUUUUAAAAAUUAGUAGAUAGAUGAUGUACUGGCUAGUUUUGUGUCAACUUGACACAGCUGGAGUUAUCACAGAGAAAGGAGCUUCAGUUGGGGAAAUGCAUCCACGAGAUCCAGGUGUAAGGCAUUUUCUCAAUUAGUGAUCAAGAGGGGAGGUCCCCUUGUGGGUGGUGCCAUCUCUGGGCUGGUAGUCUUGGGUUCUAUAAGAGAGCAGGCUGAGCAAGCCAGGUGAAGCAAGCCAGUAAGGAACAUCCCUCCAUGGCCUCUGCAUCAGCUCCUGCUUCCUGACCUGCUUGAGUUCCAGUCCUGACUUCUUUCAGUGAUGAACAGCAAUGUGGAAAUGUAAGC